rnacentral:rRNA from 5 species
GCCCGGUUACAUUUCGAACCCGGAAGCUAAGCCUUACAGCGCCGAUGGUACUGCAGGGGGGACCCUGUGGGAGAGUAGGACGCCGCCGAAC